rfam:Bacteroidetes bacterium TKL13-3, complete genome.
GAGAGUAGGUCUCUCGAUGACGAUUUUCAGGAAUAGUUAUCAAACCGCCUUAUGCUGCGAGUAUUGGAAACAAGCUGGUGGUGAGCGAUAAGGUUAAAAACGGGAGCAACGACUUCUGUAGGU